UACGUAGGGUGCGAGCGUUGUCCGGAAUUAUUGGGCGUAAAGGGCUCGUAGGCGGUUUGUCGCGUCGGGAGUGAAAUCCACUGGCUUAACUGGUGGCUUGCUUUCGAUACGGGCAGACUGGAGGUAUGCAGGGGAGAACGGAAUUCCUGGUGUAGCGGCGAAAUGCGCAGAUAUCAGGAGGAACACCGGUGGCGAAGGCGGGUCUCUGGGCCGAUACUGACGCUGAGGAGCGAAAGCGUGGGGAGCGAACAGG
rnacentral:rRNA from 1 species